CUACGGGGUGCAGCAGUGGGGAAUAUUGCACAAUGGGCGCAAGCCUGAUGCAGCAACGCCGCGUGAACGAUGAAGGCCUUCGGGUUGUAAAGUUCUUUUCUUAGGGAAGAAUAAAUGACGGUACCUAAGGGAUCAGCCCCGGCUAACUACGUGCCAGCAGCCGCGGUAAUACGUAGGGGGCAAGCGUUAUCCGGAAUCACUGGGCGUAAAGGGAGUGUAGGCGGUCAAGCAAGUCAGAGGUGAAAGGCAUCGGCUCAACCGAUGUAAGCCUUUGAAACUGUUUGACUUGAGUGCAGGAGAGGUAAGUGGAAUUCCUAGUGUAGCGGUGAAAUGCGUAGAUAUUAGGAGGAACACCAGUGGCGAAGGCGACUUACUGGACUGUAACUGACGCUGAGGCUCGAAAGCGUGGGGAGCGAACAGGAUUAGAUACCCCAGUAGUC
rnacentral:rRNA from 1 species